ensembl:lncRNA
AUUUCCUCACCGUCCAUUCACAGAUUCAGGUUCUAACCCCCGGGACAAGCUGGCCAAUCGGCUACUUUGUACCAUGGCAGUGGGCGGUCCCUAACGGACCAUCAUUCCCAGAUGAUGUUCCCUGUGAGGGAGAUGGAGACACAGAUUGAUCUACCUCCGACACACAAGCCCCCCCCUCCGUACAUAGAGAGACCCCCAGCCAUCCCUCUAGCUGUUCACGCACCACAGGUGGCCUCCCUGUCACAGGCUCGCAGGGCUGAGCGGCGCUUUGAGAUGGCCGAGAAAACCCCCGCCAGGCUCAUGCACCAGGAACCCCAAAGCCCCUCCCACCAGCCUCUGUCCUAUCAGGAGUGGGUCUGUCACCAAAAUGGGGCGGAUCGCGUCUACAUCAACCACCGGGAACACUAUGUUUAAAGGGGCAUAUUCUGAUCCUUGGACCUGUUAAUCAAUGACUUACACCACCCCAAACCAACCCCACAGAGGCUCAGGGUGGACAGCCUUUUCAGACACAGCUCAUGAUUUGACCAAGCCUUCCUAAAUGAGAGUCUACUCCACGUUUAAACUCCUUUGAGAGCAGCAGUUACCGCCUGCAAGAAGCAAGACUAAUGAGGCUGAAGCAUAAACUGCUAAGUGUCUCUGAGGAACAACCAACCCAGACACCUCCUCCACUCUCCUCCACUCUCCUCCCCUGAACCACCACACACUUGUUCUGUUCCCAACCACAUCAAGGAACAGGAUAACAGCAGAGGAGGAGGAAGACACAUUGGGACAGUACCACACAAGAAGUUAAAACAGCACACUAAGCUCUUGUGUAGUGUACUGAAAUUGAAUAAUAUGAAAACACUGUGCUCUAUCAUGUAUAGAAGAGAAGUGUAUAACUAUGUCACAGUUGCUAUGGUGAUAUUAUAGUGAUGGCAUAAUCCUGUGUACUGUUAUGCUCUUUAAAUUAGAAUUAGAAAGAAAUUAUUUAAAUACCAGACAUAUCUCUGGCUCUGGUAAACAAGCAGUGUUACCACAGCAUUUACAGUGUAAUAUCAAGCAUUACAUUAAUUAUAGUAGAUAGUAAUCCAGUCAUACUCUAUUGUGUCAUAUGUUCAGAUAAGAUGAAUGUAGGGUAGUUCAGGGGCUUUGAGAAGUCAACUGAAUCAUAGACAAGGGGAAUGAACCAUGUGGACUGUUCUUUUGUCUGUUGAGAAAAGCAUAUUUUUAUUAUUUCAUUGUGUAUAACACAUUUUCCAACUUUUUUGUGCCAUUUUAAUAUUUGAAAGGAGAUGCUCUCAACAGUAGAUAUGCUUUUUUAUUCUAAUUAUUCUGUUCAGUAGAUAAUAGAUGCAGUUUUAAAUAUUAAACUAGGUUUGUUACAAACGGGUCAGUGUUAUUUUUUUAUUUAUUUUUUUACCAUAAUAUUUAUACAGUAGGGAUGGCUAUUGUGUUUGUAUGACAACAUCAUCAUAUAGUCAAAUAAAAUGGCAGUUGCAGCCCUACAGGCAUCUGUUAAGGUCCCGAGCCCCAUAUACUGUGUGUUAAUGAGCUACGCUUGUGUAGCUUUUCUCUCCUGGCCAGGCAGGCUAGGGACCAAGGCUCUAGCUGAGCUCUAAACCACAAAAAGGCCUUUGUUUGUUUCCCUGUCAUUGGUGAAUAAGCUUUCAGGAAUGCAUUAACUAUUGAAAUAUUAAAAUGUCUCAGUUUCCAGGCAAACUCCCUCUUUUUCCGUGGCGGCAGUAGAGCUGCGUGAAUGUUUGAGGGACUAGUUUUACCAGACUAUCCUUAGGGCUGAAUACCAUGGAUUGUGAUGUUAUAUAAACUAACGGUUUGGACAGAAAAAGAAGGU